GAGUUUGAUCGUGGCUCAGAUUGAACGCUGGCGGAAUGCUUUACACAUGCAAGUCGAGCGGCAGCGCGGGGCAACCUGGCGGCGAGCGGCGAACGGGUGAGUAAUGCAUCGGAACAUGUCCAUGGAUGGGGGAUAGCCCGGCGAAAGCCGGAUUAAUACCGUCAUGAGCCCGAAGAGGGGAAAGUGGGGGACCGCAAGGCCUCACGUCGAUGGGUUGGCCGAUGUCCGAUUAGCUAGUUGGUGGGUAAAGGCCUACCAAGGCGAUGAUCGGUAGCUGGUCUGAGAGGAUGAUCAGCCACACUGGGACUGAGACACGGCCCAGACUCCUACGGGAGGCAGCAGUGGGGAAUUUUGGACAAUGGGGCAACCCUGAUCCAGCCAUUCCGCGUGAGUGAAGAAGGCC
rnacentral:rRNA from 1 species